rnacentral:pre_miRNA from 1 species
GUAGUACUCCCUCCGUCCGAAAAUACUUGUCAUCAAAAUGGAUAAAAGGGGAUGUAUCUAGAUGCAUUUUAGUUCUAGAUACAUCUCUUUUUAUCCAUUUUGAUGACAAGUAUUUUCGGACGGAGGGAGUACUAC